GACCUCCGCAAUGUGAGAAAUCGCGACGGGGGGAUCCCAAGUGCCAUUCUUAACGGGAUGGCUUUUCAUUAGUGUAAAGAGCUUUUGGAAUAAGAGCUGGGCAAGACCGGUGCCAGCCGCCGCGGUAACACCGGCAGCUCUAGUGGUAACAAUUUUUAUUGGGCCUAAAGCGUCCGUAGCCGGUUUAAUAAGUCUCUGGUGAAAUCCUGCAGCUUAACUGUGGGAAUUGCUGGAGAUACUAUUAGACUUGAGACCGGGAGAGGUUAGAGGUACUCCCAGGGUAGAGGUGAAAUUCUGUAAUCCUGGGAGGACCGCCUGUUGCGAAGGCGUCUAACUGGAACGGUUCUGACGGUGAGGGACGAAAGUUAGGGGCGCGAACCGGAUUAGAUACCCGGGUAGUCCUAACUGUAAACGAUGCGGACUUGGUGUUGGGGUGGCUUUGAGCUGCUUCAGUGCCGAAGGGAAGCUGUUAAGUCCGCCGCCUGGGAAGUACGGUCGCAAGACUGAAACUUAAAGGAAUU
rnacentral:rRNA from 1 species